UGAAAUUCCAAAAACGGCGAAGAACUACAUCAACCAACAGUGAUUUCUCGCUCUUUCUCCUUCAUGCAUCGCUCAUGUCCAGGUCCCUGUGGUAACUACAUAGUCUGGUUUGCAGUAUUGACACGCUAAAAGUAAGCGCGCAAUUUAACCCUGCAAAAAAAAAGAAACUAAAACUAAAAAAAGAAUUAAUAAAACUAAAAAGUAUUAUAUUUACAAAAUUAUAUACAAAAGAAACAAGUAAUCAAAAAUGGGGGAUUUAGAAUUAAAAUAAAUAAAAUGUAAAAACAUGAUGCGCUCAAAAUGAGUGUCAAUUUAAACCCUGCAUCGAAUUGUAGUAUGAGUAAGUAGGGUAUCGUUCUAAAUCGGGGAUUGAGGUAUACUUCCUGUCAAAAACGUUAAACAAAUUAGUAUUAUUCACAAAGUAUAAAACAAAAUAUAUUUACAGAAUUACAAGAUAGGGGAUUUCGAAAGUUGUAUCUAAAUCUAACUACUAAAUAUUAUACAAGUGUUCAAACAAAUCUGAAUCAAAGUAGAAGUAGAUGAAUGGAGGAAGUAGAGAUAUAAUUAACAACCACUAACACAUUAAGCAGAUUAUCAAACAUAAUUUUCGAAUCAAACAUGUCAUAGAAAGAAAUCAAUCAAGAACCAACCAUGAACGCAUGCAUAAGUUCUUAUUACUUCCCUUAAUUAGAUUAACUAGAUGAACACACCAUAAUUAACUCUAUUAAUCAUGCAAAGCUAGUGAGUGAUCAAUUCCCCAACAAAACACAAUUAACGCAUUAAGAACAUGUGAAAGUUUGAUUGAUUUAAACAAAGACAACAAGUUAGAACGCUAAUCUUAUCAUGCAAAGCUCAUUGUUGAUUUACCUAAGGAAUUAUAGAUUUCCACUUAGCAAUUAAGACCUAGAAUGCUAGCAUAUCUUAAUUUGGAUGCAAUUACAUGGUUAUAAUUCUAAGUUGCGCACCAAAGAACAUAAAUACAUAAAAGGUGGGAUUGAAGCACAAAAUCAACAAACAAUCAUGCAAUAUUUGAAAUGGAAAAUUAUAAUCUGAAAAACCUAAAACAAAACAUGCUUCAUGGCUAUUGGAAAUCAAUCUUUAACAUCGAAACUUUAAUCUAACAAGAAUUCGAAACAUAUCCAAAAUAACAAAACAAAAAUCUGUUUUGAAUUACAAGAAAAGAAUACCGAAAUUAAACUAGAAAAUGACAUGGUUACACUUUUGAAGAUCUCAAGAACGCAAGAAAGCUUCAAAUGUGGUGGAGGAUGAUGAUGACUACGGCAAGGAGAUGUUGAUGGAGCUUGAUCACGGCUUCUUGACUUGAAGAAAGGAUGACGAAAUUUGAGAGAGAAAAGGGGAGGAUUGCGUCUUCGAUUGAGGGUUUGAUGAUUUUUUUUUAGUUGUGGAAGGGAUGAACGUGUAUGGAGGGAGAGAGAUGGCUGAAUGGAGUGAAGGAAUAUCGUGAAAAACGUCCAAAAUAGGUGUGUGUAUAUAUAGAGAAGCUCUAGACGUCAAACCCUAGCUCUCCGUCUUCAAUUUUGAUUCCCCUUCCUUCUUUGUGUUGAUGUCGACUUCCUUUUGAAUUUUUUCAUUGGUCCACAUCAUCAUGGAUGAAAUAUAUCCUCAAAAUCAGAUCAAAUAUGGAGUAGAAACCUUCCCAAACUCGUCUCAAAAGAUAUUCACAUCCGAAACUCUCUUUAUUUGCACAAAAUCGAUUUCGGGGCAGAUUGACCUCCGUGUACUAAAUCGGCCAUAACCUCUUCUAAAAAUUGAUAUUGACAAACCGUAAAAAGUUCUGGAAACUAGACAUCCGUAGCUUUCCAAACAUAUAUAGAUCGCAAUUUUCUGAGUUCUGAGCUGUCCUCAGGGCUCUGUCGAAGUUGACUGAUCUGCACAGGCAGAUUCCUAAAAACUCUCCAUUUUUGGGAUUUCUGAAAUCUUUUUGAAUCUUCAUUAUUUUUCACGGCAAAACUGUAACGUCCCGUAUCUUAAUUUACCCGUUUACUAGUCAUUUGGACGGUAAAUGACAACUAUUUUCACUUUUACUGUCGUUUCGAUACUUUUAGUGGCCCUAAAAGUUGAUUUUUUGUUCGGGUCAAAAUUUGAGAAAAUAUUCUUCAUAAAAGUUGUAGAGGACGUUAAACCGAGCCCGUGCAUAAGUGGUACGUAAAAAUCGGAGUUCGUAUGCAAAAGUUAUAAGCGAAAAUGUGAAGUUACUGUUCAAGGUAGAUUAGUAUAAAUUUGAAAAGUUACUGUGGCAGGGUAACUUUUCUUUCUUCUCUCUCCUUCCCCCGUGCUCGCUCUGUCUCUCUUCUGCAACUCCCUCUCUCUCUCUCUCUUCUGCAACUCUCUCUUCCUCCACCUCUAGGCCACCACAUGGCGAGCUACGAGCAUCGAUAGACUCGUCUCCUCCUCCUUAACACGCAUGUGGGAGUUGUUUACGGCGAUUUGGCCGGAAAUGUGGAGAUCGAAGCCAACACUUUUACUGUAGCAAUUUGGUCAACGCCGAUUUCCGGCCACCUCCGAUCAUAAACCCAGGUCCAUUAGAAGCGCCUUGAGCCACUCUUCAUGCUCGCCAAGUUUCAUAACCCAGAUCGAAGCAUGGAGGAAGAAAGCAUAAUUAGAAGAUUUUACCGUUCACUCGGGUUUAACCUUCUCCUUAAUUGUUGAGAUAUUUCUACUCAUUUUCUGACUUUGUCACAAUUGAGGAAAUUAAUGUGUGUGUUGAGGAGGUGCUACUACCAAAGUUUGGCAGCCAUUGGAGUUGGUGGCAGUGGCGGCGGUAGCGGCGGCUAGGGUAGCUUUUUAAUUUCAAUUUCUGGCUAGUUGAAUUCUAUAAUUAUCAUAGAGCUUAUAUAUGAAGUUUAGUGAGGAUUGGUGGAGUUUUGGAUCGGUUAUAAAUUUCUAAAGAUUUGGUUUCGGUUAAUGUUAAUCGUGAAUCCGAUUGUCGGAUUUCCUCCAUAAUUGUUAUAUAGUCUGAAAUCGACGAGUGGGCAGUGUUGGUGAAGUUUGGUUGGAUGUGGAAGAGGAUUGGAGAAGUUGAGGUUAUGGGUUUUGAGAUUUAAUUAUUGAUUAUCGUAAAAUUAUUUUCCGUCCGGUAAUUAUUUAUGUACGAAUAAUUAUGUACAGGACGAGGUACCGACUCAUCGCUCGAUGAAGGAACUCGUAUACGUGAUCGUCGGAAUAGUACUGUGAGUGGACUUUUGUUUUAAAUAAUGAUGCAUGCAAUUAUUUUCAAAUUAUUGAUUUAUUUAAUUAUCGUUUUAAUUAUCGAGCAUGAUAUUUUGUCUUGGAUUAUAAUUUGACAUUGAUUUUUCAUGAGUUUCGGAUAUGAACUUAUUAUGCUCGGAUUUGGAUUUAUGAGUUGUUUUUGAGAAUAUGAAUUGAUUUUUCAGAAAUUGAUUAUAAUUAUUAUUUGAAAUUCUGAUAUUGUGAUUUUCAAUGAAUUCUUUUCCGAGGUGAUUUCCGGAAUUCCAUAUUUAUUUUCAUUCGUCGAUUUGAGAUUUCUGAAAGAUUUUCGAAAUGGGAUUUCGAUGGAAUUAUUUCUUGUUUAUUUAUCGACUUUCAGUUUUGGCAUUGGGAAUGCCUCGAUGAUGAUUUUGGAAUUGGUUUUGUUUCGAAUUAUGGAGAUACUCUUGGCGUGUGGGACACGUCGUUGGAAAUUCAUUUGCGAGAGUUGGGGAAGCCUUAUGUAUUUAUGGAUUUAUGGUUUUCGGAUUUUCUUUUGCCAUACUUUGGGUGACUAUUAUCAUUGCUAGCAUUGAUCUUCCGCCUUUGUGGCGAGGUGAUGGGAUCACCGAAACCCGUCCGCUUUUGUGGCGCUGGUUACUAUCUUUGUGACAGUAAUGCUGAAGCCCAGUAUCCUAAUCGCUACACAUAGUGGCGUGUGGGUAUAUAACGGGAGUAUAUGGGAGUACUUUAGCCUGGGAGGCUAUCACCCGAGCCCGAGUGGCUUAUUCGUAUGGCUAUCAUCUUCCCCUACUCAUUAUAUUAUUGCUGGGCUAGCGGGGUCUAGUCCGAUUCCCUUAACCAGCGGGGCUGGUCUUAUUUUCAUGAGUAUCAGAGUUCUUUCCUCUUUGCUUGGUUGUGGCUAGCGGGGCUAGUCUGUUUUCUUGAGCUGAACUAAAAUUGUUGUGUUUCUUUAAAUUGUUGCAUGCAUCGGGUUUUUAAAGAGAUAAAUGUGGGAAAGUAUAAAAUCCUUUUUCUUUUCGAUUAUUUAUUUUUGUCCACUCACGCUAACGUUUUCAUAUACUUUUCCCCUGGGCCCUUCGGUUUCAAAUGCCCAGUUUGCAGGCGUAAUUAGUGAGGUCGGGCGUACAUGGAAUUGAGGCAUAGUCAACAGCAUGGCUUCCGCGUUUUCCUUGUUUACUCAUUUUUUUAUUAGAAUUGCUCUGACUACCUGUGAGAAUAAUGUUAUUUGAGUUGCGUUUUGUGUUAUGUGAAUUGAUCGAUGUUGUGAUUUGGGGAGCAGGGUGGCUCCAGGAGAAUAAGGAUGGAUUGCUUAGAAGUGUAAAUGUUUUUCUACAGGUUUUGGGUAGUCCAUUUUUAGGGGAAGUUCUGCCAAAUUUUUGGUAGAAUUUCUUCUAAAGUGGGCCCCCCGCAGGGCCACUUCCGAUUUCGGGGUGAAAUCUGGGGCGGGUCCUGUCAAAAACCAACUAGAAUUGUUUUAGGAUUCUUCCAAGACGUCAAGAAGGGUCUAGAAACUCAUGUGCAAGUCACAUGCUUCAAUCUUUGGGCCAGUCUUCUCAAUUGGACAAUUUCAAAGCCCAUUCUUCAAUUGCCGAAAUUUCUUGUGCAUUCUAGAACAUUCUUGAACUAUCUUGAGUAAUCUUGAAGCCACAGGAUCUCCUAGCACCACUAGGACUCCUAGUGUCAUCAGGUUUCCUAGUCCAACUGGGACUCUGUCAUUUCUCAUUUUCGAACACCAUUAGCUCACUCCUAGUUGCAUUAGGAUUCCUACUUCAACUGGGAUUCCUUUUCCUGGUAGGAUUAGGAAUGCUUCAUUUCUCCAUUUCUUCUCAUUUCUGCGCCUCAUUUCCUCCUUGCCUUCAUUUCCAUCAUUUCUAGCUCUUCUUAGCUCAUUUCUUGCGUUUGAAGCUCAAAUGUACCUAAAAACACAAAACUAAGUUAGAAAUGAUAUUGUUAAGAGAAUAACUAAGCAAAAUGUAGAGACAAAUGCACUAAAAACAUAGAAAAUAUUACUCCAAUCAAAACACAUAUACAAGGGUGGAACGCAAGGAACAAAGAUCAAAACCACAAUCAUAUGCAUGAAAUCCAAUUACAAAUCCUAUAGUUGAUUAUUUAUGUCAUGAGAAAGAAGUUGACCAUGUGAAACGUUAGAAAGCAAACGAUUUCCCAUAUUUUACUUUCCUUCAAUAUUUAAUAUAAGUGAAAGCACCUAAAUUAAACCUAUUGAACAUGCAAUUAUAGUCUAGAAAGCUAGCUAAUCAAGAACACAUUCAACGCAUGAAGAACAAAGAAAUGAUGUCAACCAAAGUGCACAACCUAGUAUGAAAAAGUUCAUCUAUUUGCAAUCCUCCUUAAUUGAUUUCGACUUUUGUCCAAAGCCUAUACUACUUAUGAAAUACGUUCACAAAACUAUUAGGUGAAUUGUUUACCUAAAUCUAGCUCCAAUUACAUGCAUAUAUCCUAAGUUGGCCACCAAAGAACACAAACAUAUAAAAGUUUUCUAUAAUCCAAAAUCAAUCAAGUAAUCUCACAUAAGCAACUUAGAAAUCAACAUAUAAAAAUCACAACAUUAUUUCAAAACAUAUAAACGGGUUUUAAACUUUGCCCUUAACAUCAUGUUAACUAGAAUUCAUAACUCUACGAAUCAAACAAAGGAAAACAAAAGAAAGUAUGAAAUACACCGUGAAAGAUGGAUGACAAAGCCUUGAGACGAAGAACUUGAAGAUCCUUGAAAGCAAGCAAUCUUCUAGGGACGACACAAGGGUGGAUGGCGGCUAGAAUCUUGAUGUAUUGCAUGGCUUCUUCUCCUCCUUGGUUGAAACGCAGAGCUUUUGAAGACAAGCGAAUGGAGAGAAUUUUUUUGUGUUUAGAAUUAUGGGAGAAGUGGUUCGUGGUGUGGUGGUGUGUGCUUUGGCUUCAAGAAUUGCUGCUAUUUAUAGUGGAAUCCUGCUCUUGUGAUGCAAUCAUGGCCAAUAAUCUAGAGGUACAUCGAAUAAAUGGAGAAGAAAUGAGCUUAAAGGCAGAAGGGAUGCAGAAAUGAGCUGAAAUGAAGAAAUGGAGUUUUCCUGGUCCGACUAUGAAUCCCAGUCAAUGCAGGAAUCCUGAUGAGGCUAGGAAACCUGAAGGCAUUAGGAGACCACAUGGCUUGAAGAUGACGUGGGAGAUAUUAUGGGAGAUUAAAUCUGAUUUUUGCCAUGGGAAAUCAUGAAGAUAACGUGAAAAAUCAAGGAGAAUAUCAAGGGAGAGUUUCAAGGGAUUGUGCAACAAGAAAAAGCUCAAAACAAGUCCAGAUUCGUUCCUUAAUUCCCUCAAGAUAUGUUGGCUGAAAUUAGAGAAUAAAAUCUGCAAUUUUAAUGUGGAAAUCAAGAGAAAAUCAAGGGGAGGACAUUAAGGAUAAAGCCAUGGAGAGAUUUAAGGGAGAAAAGGUCCAAAACAAGUCCAGAUUCAUUCCUAAUUUCACUCAAGAGCAAUUUGGCCGAAAAUUGUGAAUAAAAUCAGAUUAAAUCUUGGAAAAAUCAGCAACAAUAUAUUAGGGAUUGAUUUUGGAGCUUUUUGAUUGGUUGGAUGACAUAGCAGAGCUGACGUGGCAUUAUCUGAUUGGUUAAUGCUGUGUGGAUCAAUCUUGAAGACUUGGAGACUUAGUUGCCAUCCUCCUAUAAAUAGGAGCAUUCUCUACACCAAAAAACCACAACACAACAACACCACUUCUCCCAUUCUUUUCUACACACCAAAAAUUCUCUCCAUUCUCUAGUCUUCAGAAGCUCUGCGUCUCAACCAAGGAGGAGGAGAAGUCAUGCAAUACAUUAAGAUCCUAACCACCAUCCAUCCUUGUGUCGUCCCUAGAAGAUUGCUUGCUUUCAAGGAUCUUCAAGUUCUUCGUCUCAAGGCUUGUCAUUCAUCUUUCACGGUGUAUUUCAUACUUUCUUUUGUUUUCCUUUGUUUGAUUUGUAGAGUUAUGAAUUCUAGUUAACAUGACGUUAAGGGCAAAGUUUAAAGCCCGUUUAUAUGUUUUGAAAUAAAUUUGUGAUUUCUUUAUGUUGAUUUAUAUGUUGCUUAUGUGAGAUUGCUUGAUUAAUUUUGGAUUAUAGAAAACUUUUAUAUGUAUGUGUUUUUUGGUGGCCAACUUAGGAUAUAUGCAUGUAAUUGGAGCUAGAUUUAAGUAGCGAAGGCUUUGGACAAAAGUCGAAAUCAGUUAAGGAGUAUUGCAAAUAGAUGAACUUUUUCAUAUUAGGUUGUGCACUUUGAUUGACAUCAUUUCUUUGUUGUUCUUCAUGCAUUGAAUGUGUUCUUGAGUAGCUAGCUUUCUAGACUAUGAUUGCAUGUUCAAUAGGUUUAAUUUAGGUGCUUUCACUUAGAUUAAAUAUUGAAGGAAAGUAAAAAAUGAGAAAUCGGUUGCUUAUUAACGUUUCACAUGGUCAACUUAUUUCUCAUGACAUAGAAAAUCAACUAUAGAAAUUGUAAUUGGAUUUCAUUCAUAUGAUUGUGGUUUUGAUCUUUGGUCCUUGCGUUCCACCUUUGUAUAUAUGUUUUUACGUUUUCUUUAUUUUAUUUAUUUUAACUUUUAAUUUUAUAAUUCUAAAUCCCCAUUUUCGAUUACUUGUUUCUUUUGUAUAUAAUUUUGUAAAUAUAAUACUUUUUACUUUUAUUAAUUCUUUAUUUAUUUUUUCAAUUACAUGUGUACCCUCAAUCCCCGGCUAGAACGAUCCCUACUUAUUCUAUACUAACAACUACAUGCAGGGUUAAAUUGCGCGCUUACUUUUAGCGUAUCAACAAACUCUUAUAAUCAAGAAAAAUCAGAAAUUAAUUGGAGUCUAUAAUCAAUAAAAAAUAAGAUAAUUAGGAAUAAAUAUUGACUAUGAACACUCCCCUUUUAUCUCCACGAAAUAAGAAGAAUUUAUGUGAAUGAAAACUCCUUGAUUUCCUCCUUAUUUUUGUGCUUCAUCUUAUCCUUCAUGUUUUUCAUCACUCAAGAGUUCUCAAUGGGAUGGACUCCUAAUUUCCCUCUUUAAAACAAGAAAAUCAGAAAUAGGAAAGUUCAAAUGAAGAAAGUUCCCUAAAACAAAAUAGGAAAUAUUUCCUAAAAUGAAAGAGGAAAGUUUCUAAAAUGACUUAUCCUUCAUUUACGCUCAUUUCUGCUCUUUUUCACCUCUUUUCUCCGAUGUACCUAGAAAAUAUAAACUAAAUUAAAAAUGAUUAAGUAAAGGAAAUAACUAAGCAAAAUAUGGGGAGUUAAAUAUUAAAAUGUCGCAUUAAAAUGCUCCUAUCAAGUAUAAGGAUAUUAAAGUUGGUCAAGGCCCCUGCCCACCUAUCGGUUUUCAGGAAUUAGGGACGGAUCUUUGUCGUAAGCGUGCGAGAGAAGAAGAUGAGGAGGAGGAGGAGGUGGUGGUGGAGGAAGAAGAAAGGAUACCACCUAAAGGAAUGGUCUGGAAAUCAUCCCCAAAAUUAUAAAGAACUUUUCAAUCUUCGGCAUUCGAAAGCUAGAAAUGUCAUUGAACGUGCAUUCAGGGUGUUGAAAAAAAGGUGGAGCAUAUUAAGAACAGCUUCCCUUUUUGACAUUAAAACACAAGUAAGAAUCAUGAAUGCUUGUUGUGUGUUACACAACUUCAUUCGGAUUGAGAAGCACAAUGAUCCAUUGUUGGAAGCUGAAGACUUACAUCUUUUACAUUUGGUUGAUCGUGAGUUGUCAAUGAGGCCAAUAGAAAUCAAUAAAGAGGAGAUUAGAACUGUUGAAGCCACGCCACUAAUGAAUGGACAAUAUUUCGUGAUCAAUUGGCGAUGGAUAUGUUUGCUAACUAUCAAAGGCAUCGAGCUCAACAAGUGCAGCAAGAACAAGGAGACCUUGCAAAUGUUCCAUAACUUCGAAGUUUUGUUGUGACUUUUUAAAUUUCUAGAAUUUUUUUAUGA